rnacentral:rRNA from 1 species
AUACAUGCAAGUCGAACGCGCAGCGAAAGGUGCUUGCACCUUUCAAGCGAGUGGCGAACGGGUGAGUAACACGUGGAUAACCUGCCUCAAGGCUGGGGAUAACAUUUGGAAACAGAUGCUAAUACCGAAUAAAACUUAGUAUCGCAUGAUACAAAGUUGAAAGGCGCUACGGCGUCACCUAGAGAUGGGUCCGCGGUGCAUUAGUUAGUUGGUGGGGUAAAGGCCUACCAAGACAAUGAUGCAUAGCCGAGUUGAGAGACUGAUCGGCCACAUUGGGACUGAGACACGGCCCAAACUCCUACGGGAGGCUGCAGUAGGGAAUCUUCCACAAUGGGCGAAAGCCUGAUGGAGCAACGCCGCGUGUGUGAUGAAGGCUUUAGGGUCGUAAAGCACUGUUGUAUGGGAAGAAAUGCUAGAAUAGGGAAUGAUUCUAGUUCGACGGUACCAUACCAGAAAGGGACGGCUAAAUACGUGCCAGCAGCCGCGGUAAUACGUAUGUCCCGAGCGUUAUCCGGAUUUAUUGGGCGUAAAGCGAGCGCAGACGGUUGAUUAAGUCUGAUGUGAAAGCCCGGAGCUCAACUCCGGAAUGGCAUUGGAAACUGGUUAACUUGAGUGUUGUAGAGGUAAGUGGAACUCCAUGUGUAGCGGUGGAAUGCGUAGAUAUAUGGAAGAACACCAGUGGCGAAGGCGGCUUACUGGACAACAACUGACGUUGAGGCUCGAAAGUGUG